CAUACAACCUCAUGGUAGCUGAGGAUGUUAAAUGGCUAGGCACUUCCUAAGCUAUGUGUCUAGGGCAGUGCUCAAGACAACCCCCUGCCCCAUAACAAAGAAUUAUCCAGCUCACAAUGUCAAGUGCUUAGAAUGAGAAAUCUUGGUGGAGAGAAAAUUUCUUAACAUCUGUAAUCCUUGGUUUCCUCCUCCGUAAUACCAGCCUAACUGAGUGAUAUGGUUUGGCUCUGUGUCCCUACCGAAAUCUCAUGUCCACUUGUAAUCCCCAUGUGUUGGAGGAGGGGCAUGGUGGGAGGUGAUUGAAUCACGGUAGUGGAUUUCCCCUCUGCUGUUCUCGUGAUAGUGCGUGAGUUCUCACGAGAUCUGGUUGUUUGAAAGUGUGUAGCACCUCCCCCUUCGCUCGCUCGCUCUCUCCUGCUCCACCAUGAUAAGAUGUGCUUGCUUCCCCUUCACUUUCCGACUUGAUCGACCUUCAAGUACAUGCUCCAUUGAACUCUCUGAAUUCAGCUGGCUAAAAAAGAAGAAAGAGAAGAUGGAGAAGGCACAACCAUUCUAAACUGCCUUGACAUGGAGGUGACACCAGUUUUAUUGUAGGAAUAAGUGACAUGAUUGUAUCUAAUUGCAAGGGCCUGGGAAGCACAACUAACCAUGCACCAAAGAAGACAAGAACACAGGCAGCUUGGGUCAUGUGCUACAGCUUUCCUGUGAUCACCUUGCCUCUGAAAUAUCUGAAAAUGGCUUUCUCUUCAUUCAUUUCUACAUCUUCAUUCAUUCUCCCAGGUCUUGCAAUGGUUGUGUUGGGGAGAUGUUCAUCAUUUAUAUCUUGUUUCCGAUGUCAACUCCUCUCUGAAAUAUGCCAUGUUAGCCCUUGGAGAAUUAGGUGGCGACUUAUAUAGCAUCUACUUUUGUGUUCAUCUCCUCUAAUGUUGAUUGG
rnacentral:lncRNA from 1 species